AAUCAACGCUGGCGGCGUGCCUCAGACAUGCAAGUCGAACGAUUAAAGCUCUCUUCGGAGAGUGUAUAGAGUGGCGCACGGGUGAGUAACACGUAAGUAAUCUACCUUUGAGUGGGGAAUAACAGUCGGAAACGACUGCUAAUACCGCAUAAUGCAGCGGCAUCGCAAGAUGACAGUUGUUAAAGGAGCAAUCCGCUUAAAGAGGAGCUUGCGGCAGAUUAGCUAGUUGGUAAGGUAAUGGCUUACCAAGGCUACGAUCUGUAUCCGGUCUAAGAGGACGGUCGGACACACUGACACUGAAUAACGGGUCAGACUCCUACGGGAGGCAGCAGUCGGGAAUUUUGGGCGAAUGGGCGAAAGCCUGACCCAGCAACGCCGCGUGAAGGAUGAAGUAUUUCGGUAUGU
rnacentral:rRNA from 1 species